rnacentral:rRNA from 1 species
GCGUAGAGAUCUGGAGGAAUACCGGUGGCGAAGGCGGCCCCCUGGACGAAGACUGACGCUCAGGUGCGAAAGCGUGGGGAGCAAACAGGAUUAGAUACCCUGGUAGUCCACGCCGUAAACGAUGUCGACUUGGAGGUUGUGCCCUUGAGGCGUGGCUUCCGGAGCUAACGCGUUAAGUCGACCGCCUGGGGAGUACGGCCGCAAGGUUAAAACUCAAAUGAAUUGACGGGGGCCCGCACAAGCGGUGGAGCAUGUGGUUUAAUUCGAUGCAACGCGAAGAACCUUACCUGGUCUUGACAUCCACGGAAGUUUUCAGAGAUGAGAAUGUGCCUUCGGGAACCGUGAGACAGGUGCUGCAUGGCUGUCGUCAGCUCGUGUUGUGAAAUGUUGGGUUAAGUCCCGCAACGAGCGCAACCCUUAUCCUUUGUUGCCAGCGGUCCGGCCGGGAACUCAAAGGAGACUGCCAGUGAUAAACUGGAGGAAGGUGGGGAUGACGUCAAGUCAUCAUGGCCCUUACGACCAGGGCUACACACGUGCUACAAUGGCGCAUACAAAGAGAAGCGACCUCGCGAGAGCAAGCGGACCUCAUAAAGUGCGUCGUAGUCCGGAUUGGAGUCUGCAACUCGACUCCAUGAAGUCGGAAUCGCUAGUAAUCGUGGAUCAGAAUGCCACGGUGAAUACGUUCCCGGGCCUUGUACACACCGCCCGUCACACCAUGGGAGUGGGUUGCAAAAGAAGUAGGUAGCUUAACCUUCGGGAGGGCGCUUACCACUUUGUGAUUCAUGACUGGGGUGAAGUCGUAACAAGGUAACCGUAGGGGAACCUGCGGUUGGAUCACCUCCUUACCUUAAAGAAGC